UGAGCAAUCUGCCCUUCUCAUCGGAAUAAGCGUUGGAAACGACGUCUAAUGCCGAAUACGACCUCCUUUCGCAUGAUCGGAGGUGGAAAGCUCCGGCGGAGAAGGAUGAGCUCGCGGCCUAUCAGCUAGUUGGUGUGGGUAAUGGCCCACCAAGGCGACGACGGGUAGCCGGCCUGAGAGGUUGACCGGCCACACUGGGACUGAGACACGGCCCAGACUCCUACGGGAGCAG
rnacentral:rRNA from 1 species